GCCCAGGGUGGUGUAAUGGUAGCAUUGCUGAAAUUGCCGCGGCCGUCAGGCACAGGCGAAUAGCACAGCAGACCUGGGUUCGAAUCCCAGCCCUGGCC
rnacentral:tRNA from 1 species